rnacentral:rRNA from 1 species
GUGAGGAAUAUUGGUCAAUGGACGCGAGUCUGAACCAGCCAAGUAGCGUGAAGGAUGACUGCCCUAUGGGUUGUAAACUUCUUUUAUAAGGGAAUAAAGUGAGGGACGUGUCCCUUUUGUAUGUACCUUAUGAAUAAGGAUCGGCUAACUCCGUGCCAGCAGCCGCGGUAAUACGGAGGAUCCAAGCGUUAUCCGGAUUUAUUGGGUUUAAAGGGAGCGUAGGUUGACAUAUAAGUCAGCUGUGAAAGUUUACGGCUCAACCGUGAAAUUGCAGUUGAUACUGUAUGUCUUGAGUGUACAAGAGGUGGGCGGAAUUCGUGGUGUAGCGGUGAAAUGCUUAGAUAUCACGAAGAACUCCAAUUGCGAAGGCAGCUCACUGGGGUACAACUGACACUGAGGCUCGAAAGUGUGGGUAUCAAACAGGAUUAGAUACCCCGGUAGUCC